rnacentral:rRNA from 1 species
UAGGGAAUCUUCCGCAAUGGACGCAAGUCUGACGGAGCAACGCCGCGUGAGUGAAGAAGGAUUUCGGUUCGUAAAACUCUGUUGUUAGAGAAGAACAGCGCAUAGAGUAACUGUUAUGCGUGUGACGGUAUCUAACCAGAAAGCCACGGCUAACUACGUGCCAGCAGCCGCGGUAAUACGUAGGUGGCAAGCGUUGUCCGGAUUUAUUGGGCGUAAAGCGAGCGCAGGCGGUCAAUUAAGUCUGAUGUGAAAGCCCCCGGCUCAACCGGGGAGGGUCAUUGGAAACUGGAAAACUUGAGUGCAGAAGAGGAAAGUGGAAUUCCAUGUGUAGCGGUGAAAUGCGCAGAGAUAUGGAGGAACACCAGUGGCGAAGGCGACUCUCUGGUCUGUAACUGACGCUGAGGUUCGAAAGCGUGGGUAGCAAACAGG